rnacentral:tRNA from 1 species
GUCAGCUUGGCCGAGUGGUCUAAGGCGCCAGACUCAAAUUCUGGUGGAGAAAUCCGCGUGAGUUCGAACUCCACAGCUGACA